rnacentral:rRNA from 1 species
GCUCCUCGCGCCAUCAGACUCCUACGGGAGGCAGGCAGUGGGGAAUAUUGGACAAUGGGGGAGACCCUGAUCCAGCCAUGCCGCGUGAAUGAUGAAGGCCUUCGGGUUGUAAAGUUCUUUGAUGGGACGAUGAUGACGGUACCCAUAGAACUAAGCUCCGGCUAACUUCGUGCCAGCAGCCGCGGUAAUAC